rnacentral:rRNA from 1 species
ACGCUCGACACCUACGGGGGCAGCAGUGGGGAAUAUUGGGCAAUGGGCGCAAGCCUGACCCAGCAACGCCGCGUGAAGGAAGAAGGCUUUCGGGUUGUAAACUUCUUUUAUCAGGGACGAAAUAAAUGACGGUACCUGAUGAAUAAGCCACGGCUAACUACGUGCAGCAGCCGCGGUAAUCUGAGCGGGCUGGCAAGGC